rnacentral:tRNA from 1 species
GCAGAAAUGGCGGAAUUGGCAGACGCGCACCCGGUUCAGGUCCGUGUGGUAGUGAUACCAUGAGGGUUCAAGUCCCUCUUUCUGCAUCA